rnacentral:rRNA from 1 species
GAGUUUGAUCAUGGCUCAGAUUGAACGCUGGCGGCAGGCUUAACACAUGCAAGUCGAACGAACUAUUGGGGCUUGCUCUAAUAGUUAGUGGCGAACGGGUGAGUAAUGCCUAGGAAUCUGCCUUAUAGUGGGGGAUAACGUUUCGAAAGGAACGCUAAUACCGCAUACGUCCUACGGGAGAAAGGGGGCAUUUAUGCUCUCGCUAUUAGAUGAGCCUAGGUCAGAUUAGCUAGUUGGUAGGGUAAAGGCCUACCAAGGCUACGAUCUGUAGCGGGUCUGAGAGGAUGAUCCGCCACACUGGAACUGAGACACGGUCCAGACUCCUACGGGAGGCAGCAGUGGGGAAUAUUGGACAAUGGGGGAAACCCUGAUCCAGCCAUGCCGCGUGUGUGAAGAAGGCCUUUUGGUUGUAAAGCACUUUAAGCGGGGAAGAGGGCACCACGGUUAAUACCCGUGAAUGUCGGACAUUACCCGCAGAAUAAGCACCGGCUAACUCUGUGCCAGCAGCCGCGGUAAUACAGAGGGUGCGAGCGUUAAUCGGAAUUACUGGGCGUAAAGCGCGUGUAGGCGGUUAUAUAAGUUGGAUGUGAAAUCCCCGAGCUUAACUUGGGCACUGCAUUCAAAACUGUAUAGCUAGAGUAUGGGAGAGGAAGGUAGAAUUCCAGGUGUAGCGGUGAAAUGCGUAGAGAUCUGGAGGAAUACCGAUGGCGAAGGCAGCCUUCUGGGCUAUACUGACGCUG